GUCUCAUCAUUGUCAUUAUCUUGAGUGAAAUUAUUAAUUGUAUCUAUAAUUUGCUGCUUCACCCAAUCAUUCUUUUAAGAUGAGAUUGUUUAGUUUCCAAUUACUUUUUGGUCUAUUUCCUAACUUUUGUUGAAUGUAGUUUUUAUUGCAUCAUGAUCUGAAAAGAAAGCAUUUACUAUUUCUUCUUUUUUGCAUUUAAUUUUGAGUCUUUAUGUCCUAAUAUAUGGUCAGUUUUGAAUAGGUUCCAUGAACUGCUGAGAAGAAAGCAUAUUCCUUUUUAUCCAUUCAAUUUUUCCAAAGAUCUAACAUACUAAUUUUCUAAUAUUCUAUUUACUUCUUUAAUUUCUUUCUUAUUUGUUUUGUGGUUUGAUUUGUCUAAUUUGAGGUGCAGAUUGGAGAUCUCCCACUAUUACAGUUUUUUUGGUCUAUUUCUUCUUGCAACUCUCUUAACUUCUCCUUUAGGAAGUUGGAUGCCAUACCACUUGGUGCAUAUAUGUUUAAUAUUGAUAUUACUUCGUUGUUUAUGCUACCCUUUAGCAGGAUGUAGUUUCCUUCCUUAUCUCUUUUAAUUAGAUCAAUUUUUUUCUUUUGCUUGAUCUGAGAUAAGGAUGGCUACCCCUGCUUUUUUUACUUCACCUGAAGCAUAAUAGAUUUUGCUCCAGCCUUUUACCUUUACUCUGUAUGUAUCUCCCUGUUUUAAAUGUGUUUCUUGUAAACAACAUAUUGUAGGGUUCUGACUUUUGAUCCAGUCUGCUAUCUGCCUCCUCUUUAUGGGGAGUUCAUCCAUUCAUUUGGUUAGAAUUAUUAAAUCUGUAUUUCCUGCCAUCCUAAUAACCCCAGCUUAUGCUUUACUUUUUCUUGCCUCCCCCAACCCUCUUUCCCCUUUUUGAACUUAUGUACCCCACUUGUAUCACAAUGAUUACCCUCUUUGAAUCCUCCUCCCCUUUGAAUCUUUUCCUUCCUUCUUAUUACUCUUUUUCUUUUCCCUUUUCCUCUCCCCUUUUUAAUGAGGCAAGAGAGGUUCUCUAAAAAAUGUCAAUUAUUUUUCUUUGAGCUACUCUGAUGAGAGUAAGAUUCACACAAUGUUCCUCUCCUCUCUAAAUUCCUCAGAUAUGAUAAGUUUCCUUUGCCUCUUUGUGGGAUGUGGUUUCCCUCUUUUUAUCCCUCCUUCCCACCUUAUUCUGCCAUCAUCCCUUUUCCAUGUCUACUUCCCUUUUUUAUGUUAUAUCAGUAAAAUCAAAUUAUACAUGUAUUUUUUUUUGUAUAUCCACAACAGAAAUACAAUUCUCAAGAGUUAUUUUUACCUUUUCUGCAUCUCUUGUGUUCUAUGGUUGGAGAUCAAAUUUUUGUUUAGUUCUGGUUUUUCUAGAAACAAAUGGAAUUCAUUUGUUUCAUUAAAUGUCCAUCUUCUUCCCUGGAAGAAAAUGCUCAGCUUAGCUGGGUAGUUUAUUCUUGGCUGCAUCCCAAGUUCUUUUGCCUUUCGGAAUAUCAGAUUCCUGGCCCUUCGAUCCUUUAAUGUGGAGGCAUCCAGAUCUUGGAUGAUCCUUAUUUUGGCACCUCGGUAUUAAAAUUUUUUUUUUUUUUGGCUGCUUGUAAAAUUUUUUUCCUUAAUCUGAUAGUUCUGAAAUUUGGCCACAAUAUUCCUUGGGGUUUUUAUUUUAGGGUUUCUUUCAGAAGGUGUUCGAUGAAUUCUUUCAAUGACUAUUUUACCUUCUGAUUCUGUUACAUCUGGGCAGUUCUCUUUGAUGAUUUCUUGUAAAAUAGUAUCUAGGCUCUUUUUUUCCUCAUAGUUUUCAGAAAGUCCAAUAAUCCUCAGAUUCUCUCUCCUAGAUCUAUUUUCCAAGUCUGUCGUUUUUGCAAGUAGAUAAUUCAUGUUUUUUUCCAGUUUGUCAUUUUUUUUUGUUUUUGCUUGACUGAUUCUUGGUGUCUCAGUGAAUCAUUAGUUUCUAUUUGUUCAGUUCUAAUUCUUAAAGAAUUAUUUUCUUCAUUAGCUUUUUUUACUUCUUUCUGUAUAUGUCCAAUUGAGUUUUUAAAUGUAUUGUUUUGGUUUGUGGCAUUUUUUUCCAUUUCACUAAUUUUUUUUUUUUAGUGAAUUAUUUUCUUUUUCCAAUUCAUAGAUCCUACUUUCUUGCGAGUUCUUUGUCUUUUCCAAUUCACAAAUCCUACUUUCUAGUGAAUUCUUUAUUUUUUCCAAUUCACAAUUCUUACUUUCCUGAGAUUUUUUUUACUUUUUCCAAUUCGUAUUUCAGGAAGUUGUUGCUCUCUUGUAAGGCUUCUCUUUCCUUUCCCCAUUUAUCUUCUAACUCUCUUUUGAGACUUUUAAUGGUCUCUUCUAUGAGAGCAUCAUGUAAAAGAGGACAGUUUGGUGCAUGUUUGCUAUUUGCUGUCUCUUCAUGUUUGCUGACCUGUUCUUUUUCUGCCUAGAAACUGUCAAUCAUUCUUUUUAUCUUAUUAUUCAUGUUUUAAAGCCUUUAGGGUAUGCCUCCUAGGCAAGGUAGUUACCAGCUUCCUCUGCAGAACAGGAGAGAUGUAAACCAGUUUCUGGCUCUAAGGUAUGGGAAUGCUCUGAGCGAGAGUUUUCCCUUCCCCCAACAGGAGGUGGAUUCAGCACUGGCUGAGCUAUCCAAGUGCCCAGUUGGGCUAUGUGGGUUAGCGAUUGCCCUAGGCUAGAGACUAAGGGGUGAAAGUGUCACUGCCCCAGGCCAGAGCCUCUUGUGGGGCUGUGGGUAUUAGCAGCUGAUGGCAGACCUCCAAUUCUACUGGAACUCUGCCCGGAACUCUGCCCAACAAAUAGGCCCUGGGAAAGCUCUAUGGCCCCAAGCCGAGCCCCCCACUGCACAGAUUAGAGGCUAACCUGGGCUGUGCCCUCCUGCCGUGCAGGUUGGCAACUGCCCCAAGGAAAAGCCCUGUACUGUGGGUUGGGGCUGAAAACUUGUGCUGAGAUCUAUGCUUUCACUUUUGGUUUGAGGCUCUACUUGGAACCUAAUUUCUCUCCCAGUCUACGCUGAUCUCCCCCCUAGCCCUGGAACAAACCUUUUUUGGCAAGACUGCGGAUUUUCUUCAGCUGAUAUGGAGACUGAAGCACAAGGAAAGAAAAUGAACUGGCCCAGAGAGCCACAGAACUGGGAUAGGAAUACAGGGAUGCCAGAUGAAAUGAACCUCAGUGACGUCAAGCAAAUCCAUCAAACAGAUGGUGGAAGCACUUUAGACUCAAGUGGAGCAGGCCGCUCAGCAAUGACUGUUCAUAUGACAUUUACUCUGAUUAGUGUGGCAACAUUCAUAUUCAGUCUUUGGUAACAGAAUAAUUCUGGCUCAAUUCAUGUGUCUUGCUGCUAUCGUCAUUCCCCUCCCUCCCUUCAUAAGCCCAGAAUAAUAAAUCUGUUGAAUGUAGAAAUUAUAUGUAUGGUAGUAGUUAUCUUAUUAACCUCUUAGAUACCAUAUUUGAAUAUUCAAAAAGUAUCUGAUUAUUGCCUUGCUUUAAAAUAGGAAGGUUAUCUUUAAAUUUUAAAAAAAUCAUUUUUUUUUGGUUUGGGGAAUAGACAACAUGAAAAAUAUAGCACAUCCCUCCUGCAAAUGUAAACAGCAUGAAACUGUUUUAAACUAAAAUAAUAUGUUGUAUAUUUUAAAAUAUAUAUUUUAAGAUUCUUGUUUUCUGAAGGAAAGCCCUAGUAAAUUUGAAUUAUAAAGUUUGUAAAACAAUGGAACAUUUCAUAUCAACCACUAAAAUAAUAAAAAUUCAAAUCCCACUAUGUUAUGCACAUAUUUCCAAUUAUUCUGCUAACAAUCACACUGGCUACUUUAUGUUUCUUGUAAGUCAUAUAAGGAAGGGUAAACCUGGGCUGAAAAAUGACAUUUCAUAUUGUUACAUGAUGAAAUUUAGUUGAUUUUUAUCCAUUCCAAUUUAGCUAUUAAUAGUUCUUAUAAAUGGUUGUUAUGGUUGUGACUGACUCAUAUUCCAUUACACCAUAAGUUUGUCUUGAGUAUCCUUGUACAUUCAUCUUUCCCUUGCUUGCCUAAUAGAUUUAGGUAUUCUAUAUACCAUAUACAGACUACACCUUAGGAGUAUAUCUACUCAACUGAUUGACUUUUAUGUGGAAAAAUACUUUAAGGAAUAUCAGUCAUUUUUUUGGCCAAAUAAUACAUAAGUCAUUCAUACUUCAAAAAGUAACCCAGAAUAUUGUUAGAUUUUUUAAGCCCUAAACUUCCGAUAAAGUUGAGCAUCAAUGAAUUUCUAAGAUGACUCUGAUUAGCCAAAGAAAACAUAAUUAUUAACAGUAUAAAAAACUUGGACAUUAAAUUUAUACCUUUUCUUUUCCCAGUAUAUUAGGAAAGUUGCUGAUCUGCAGUCCCUGAUUUCCCAGUUCCCAGUCCCAGUAUGCUGAUGUCUCAGCAUACAAUGAUUAGGUUAAGUUUAUGACACUAUAUAAAGAGGAAGAGAUAAGUCAGAUUUUAUUAAGGAAUAUCGCAUUCAGUCAAUGGCCAAUGAUUAUAAUUAAUGUGAAUUGUCGUCCUAAUAAAGAGAAGUGCUGAGCCUCUUUUUAUAAUGACUUGAAAGGACAUGGAACGACCUCUGAUGAAACAGCUAAAGAGGACUCAGUCAACAGCAAAAAGCACUAAAGUAAAAGUUGUUUCCAACAUAGGGAACAGUCUAUCAAUAAAGCAUGUUCUUUCCAAAAUCUAUACUAAAUUAGAAUCACACACACGUGCCCAUGCACACACACACACACACACACACAUUAUUCUUGCUGAAAAUAUUUUUGGAUCAUCUCUUUUGAGUUUGCCUUCAGAUUCUAGGAUACAUUCUCUGGCAAAGCCCUCCUAUAGAAGGACAACCAAUUCUACUUUGGGGUGAAAAGAUCAGACUCCCUAUAUACUCAUGGAUUUAAUAGAUCAGACUGUUACCUCUCUUGUAAGUUAAAUGUUGGAAGAAACAGAAAGAGGAUGAUAUUGAUAAGUUAAAUUAAGUGGAAUUGAUAAAGGCAAUAAGAGAUAGAACUGCUUGUAGAUUAGGGACUCCUAACACCUAUAGUAGGAAGUAAUAAAUAGAUCAGGUUCUGGGAAAAAAUUUUAAGAAGAGUUUAAGACUACUAGAAAUACCAGGAAAUUACCAGAUAAUAUUCUUAUGACCCUCUCUGGAUAAAGAAGGAGGCAAUAACAUUUCACAAAGCUUUCUUUUAUUUUUCUCCUUAAAAUUUCAAUAUUGAUUAAGAAUAUAUCAGUCAACUGAAUUCAGUUGAUAUAAGUAACUGUGUAUGUACAUAUAUGUAAGCAUAUAUAGAGUAGUUCUUUGGAAUAAUAUAAAUUACAUUAAUUGUCAGUUGGCAUCUUUGGCUUUGUGAGGACAUAGACACAAUUCUAUUCAUUUUGUCAAAAUGGCUUCGCAUUAUUUGCACAAGGAUUGCUCUGUUCAUUUUUUAAAAUAUCCUUUUAUACAUCCAGUUUCCCCCAACAAAUGCUAAUCUCUAUAUAGUAGCUUUAUAGCAAUGAAUAAGACGAGAAUAUCUUUAAAGAGCAAAAAUCUUUCAGAUGUUCCAACAAUGGGCCUUUAUCAAAUAGAAUUCACUAUAAUUAUAUAUAUAUGUAUAUAUACAUAUAUAUAUAUAUGCAAAACAUAAUAGUAGACAGUUUCUUAGAGAUGAUAAUAGUAAGAAUUUGCUGUAUUUACCCCCAACCAAUGGCCAAUGACAUAUAUCCUGAGUUAAAAAUCUAAACUCCUAAAUAAAUAAUUCAUAAAUAUGUGAAGUUAAAAUGUUAAUUUGUCUAUGGGAAUGUGUUUCAUAUGCCAAUAUCAUCAACCCAGCGUAUUCUCAACCAUAUCAGAAACCAAUUGACAGGAUGGUUUUUAAAUUUUAAACAGACAAAAAUGAAAUUUAUGUUUCCAUCUUAUGCAAGAACUUUCAUCUUCACCCUUCAAGAUAACAUUUCAAUUCUCUAAGCAAUAGCUUUGCUGCAGGCAAUAUGAAAAUUUUCAAACAUAUAUCUGUCCUUUUAAAAAUACAACUAUAAAAAAACAAAAAAAUGCAAAUAAAGAAAACUAAUAAUCUAUAUUACUCAUGACAAUGAGACAGUUUCUCUUGUGUCUAUUUCCCUUAGAGGAAUAAAAAAUUCUAUGAGGAUUGUCAACAGAUCCCAAAAAGAAAUUGGCAAGCAAAGAAUAUUAUGUGUGGAUCUGGACAUAAAAAUCACCUAAGAGACAUUUCAUGGCCUAUUCUUUUCACAGAAGGCAAUCUAGUUGAGAAAAGAUCAUUAGUGUUGUUCUUUACUCUCCCAAAAGGAAAAUAUAUACAUAUAUAUAUAUAUAUAGCUAUUCAAAACAAAAUGCUCAAAUUUUCUAAUAUUCUGUGUAAUAAUUGAGAUCUAUUAUUCAAUAAUUUUCAUAACAAAAAUUUCUUAACAGAUAUUGUAAUGUUUCUUUUAAUGUACUAUUUAAUUUACAGGAACCAGUCAAGAUUAAAGUUUUUUUGUUUUUUUGUUUUUUAUGUUUCACAUGUAAAACAAGUUUCCUGGUAUUUUGAGUGAAAUUCACUAAAACAGACAGAGAUAUUCAUGCUUAUUUUGGUCCAUAGGCAAUGAUAACCUAUAAAGUUGUGCAGGUUGAUUAAAAUCACAAAAUUUUAUGUUUAAGGCUGUUAUGAUGUAGACGAUAUCAAGUUUUUCUUUCAAUACUGCAUAAUGUACAUCCAUCAUUGUUAAUAAAAACAGUAUGGAGAAAAUAGAACUCUGAGGUGUGCUUUCUUUGGAUAUAGAUAAAUACCUUUUUGUAAUUGAACACUGAAGGAGAAUUGCUUU
rnacentral:lncRNA from 1 species